CGACGCUUCUUUUUCACCGGAGCUUGCUCCCCGGAAAAAGAGGAGUGGCGAACGGGUGAGUAACACGUGGGUAACCUGCCCAUCAGAAGGGGAUAACACUUGGAAACAGGUGCUAAUACCGUAUAACAAUCAAAACCGCAUGGUUUUGAUUUGAAAGGCGCUUUCGGGUGUCGCUGAUGGAUGGACCCGCGGUGCAUUAGCUAGUUGGUGAGGUAACGGCUCACCAAGGCCACGAUGCAUAGCCGACCUGAGAGGGUGAUCGGCCACAUUGGGACUGAGACACGGCCCAAACUCCUACGGGAGGCAGCAGUAGGGAAUCUUCGGCAAUGGACGAAAGUCUGACCGAGCAACGCCGCGUGAGUGAAGAAGGUUUUCGGAUCGUAAAACUCUGUUGUUAGAGAAGAACAAGGAUGAGAGUAACUGUUCAUCCCUUGACGGUAUCUAACCAGAAAGCCACGGCUAACUACGUGCCAGCAGCCGCGGUAAUACGUAGGUGGCAAGCGUUGUCCGGAUUUAUUGGGCGUAAAGCGAGCGCAGGCGGUUUCUUAAGUCUGAUGUGAAAGCCCCCGGCUCAACCGGGGAGGGUCAUUGGAAACUGGGAGACUUGAGUGCAGAAGAGGAGAGUGGAAUUCCAUGUGUAGCGGUGAAAUGCGUAGAUAUAUGGAGGAACACCAGUGGCGAAGGCGGCUCUCUGGUCUGUAACUGACGCUGAGGCUCGAAAGCGUGGGGAGCAAACAGGAUUAGAUACCCUGGUAGUCCACGCCGUANACGAUGAGUGCUAAGUGUUGGANGGUUUCCGCCCUUCAGUGCUGCAGCUAACGCAUUAAGCACUCCGCCUGGGGAGUA
rnacentral:rRNA from 1 species